rnacentral:rRNA from 1 species
UACGUAGGUGGCAAGCGUUGUCCGGAUUUACUGGGUGUAAAGGGCGUGCAGCCGGGCCGACAAGUCAGAUGUGAAAUCCGCGGGCUUAACCCGCGAACUGCAUUUGAAACUAUUGGUCUUGAGUACCGGAGAGGUUAUCGGAAUUCCUUGUGUAGCGGUGAAAUGCGUAGAUAUAAGGAAGAACACCAGUGGCGAAGGCGGAUAACUGGACGGUAACUGACGCUGAGGCUCGAAAGCGUGGGUAUCGAACAGG